rnacentral:misc_RNA from 1 species
GAAAUGCGAUACUUGGUGUGAAUUGCAGAAUCCCGUGAACCAUCGAGUCUUUGAACGCAAGUUGCGCUCGAGACCAAUCACGUGCGAGCCGGUCAGUUCUGGACCCAUCGACGACCCUUUGCGUGCACGCACGCUCCCAACGAGACCUCAGGUCAGGCGGGGCUACCCGCUGAGUUUAA